rnacentral:rRNA from 1 species
GUGCAGCAGUCGCGAAACUUCACACUGUGCGAAAGCACGAUGAGGGAAUCCCAAGUGCUUGCACGUAAGUGUAAGCUGUUCUCUGUUUAAACGCAGAGAGAGUAAGGGCUGGGUAAGACGGGUGCCAGCCGCCGCGGUAAUACCUGCAGCUCAAGUGGUGACCGUUAUUAUUGGGCCUAAAACGUCCGUAGCCGGUUUAAUAAAUGCCUGGGUAAAUCGUGUAGCUUAACUAUACGAAUUCCGGGUAGACUGUUAAACUCGAGACCGGGAGAAGUUAGAGGUACUCCUGGGGUAGAGGUGAAAUUCUGUAAUCCUAGGGGGACCACCAGUGGCGAAGGCGUCUAACUAGAACGGGUCUGACGGUGAGGGACGAAGCCCUGGGGCGCAAACGGGAUUAGAUACCCCUGUAGU